AGUCGCCACGGGAAUACGGAGGGUGCAAGCGUUAAUCGGAAUUACUGGGCGUAAAGCGCACGCAGGCGGUCUGACAAGUCAGAUGUGAAAUCCCCGGGCUUAACCUGGGAACUGCAUUUGAAACUGUCAGGCUGGAGUCUUGUAGAGGGGGGUGGAAUUCCAGGUGUAGCGGUGAAAUGCGUAGAGAUCUGGAGGAAUACCGGUGGCGAAGGCGGCCCCCUGGACAAAGACUGACGCUCAGGUGCGAAAGCGUGGGGAGCAAACAGGAUUAGAUACCCCUGUAGUCCCUGUCUCUUAUACC
rnacentral:rRNA from 1 species